rnacentral:rRNA from 1 species
UACAGAGGUGGCAAGCGUUGUUCGGAAUUACUGGGCGUAAAGGGCGCGUAGGCGGUUCGUUAAGUCCUGUGUGAAAUCCCCCGGCUCAACUGGGGAACUGCACAGGAAACUAGCGGGCUUGAGUUCGGGAGAGGGAAGCGGAAUUCCGGGUGUAGCGGUGAAAUGCGCAGAUAUCAGGAGGAACACCGGUGGCGAAGGCGGAUCUCUGGGCCUUACCUGACGCUGAGGCGCGAAAGCUAGGGGAGCGAACAGG